rnacentral:tRNA from 1 species
GCGGAUAUGGCGGAAUUGGUAGACGCGCAUGGUUCAGGUCCAUGUAAACGCAAGUUUUUGCAGGUUCAAGUCCUGUUAUCCGUACCA